CGGGGGGGAAAGAACCAACAGGGAUUGCCCCAGUAACGGCGAGUGAAGCGGCAACAGCUCAAUUUGAAAUCUGGCCCCCCCCGGGGGGGCCGAGUUGUAAUUUGCAAAAGAAGGUUUGGGGGAGGCGCCCUCCGAGUUCCCUGGAACGGGACCCCCCAGAAGGUGAGAACCCCGUCUGGUCGGACCCCCAGCCUCUGUAAAGCUCCCUCCACGAAUCCAGUAAUUUGGGAAUGGUGCUCAAAAUGGGAGGGAUUUGUCUUCUAAAGCUAAAUACCGGCCAAAAACCGAUUGCGCACAAGUUGAGUGGUCCAAAGAAGAAAAGCCCCUUGAAAAGGGGGUUAAACAGUACGUGAAAUUGUUGAAAGGGAAACCCUUGUGACCAGACUUGGGGCGGGGGGAUUAACCGGGGUUUUCCCCCGGGCACUCCCCCCCUCCCAAGGCAACAUCAAUUUCCGCCCGGGGAAAAAAGGCGGGGGAACCUGGCUCCCCCAGGAAUGGUAUUACCCCCCCCCCCCUGCCCCGGGGGCCGAAUGGAGGCCCCCCCUUCCUGGCAGGGUUCUUGCCUUAUGGUCACCAACCACCCCUCCUGGAACCCCGGGCAAGGAAUUCUCCUUCUAUGGCAAUGGUCCGGUUGUCAACCCCUUCCCCGAAAGAAAGUGAACCUUGGUUAAAGCUUCCGCCCCUCCUCCACCCAUUCCGAUGGUCUUCGAAGGAUUUGAAUUAGAACAUACCGGGCCCGGACCCAAAGAAAGGUAAAUAUUCCUGUUGUAGGUGGAACCCGAAGAAACUCCUGGUGGAAGGUCGCGCGGUCCUGACGUUGCAAAUCGAUCGUCAAACAUGGGCAUGGGGGGCGAAGGACUAAUCGAACUUCCUAGUAGCUUGGUUUCCGCGAUCUCCUCCCCUCCGGGAGAAUCU
rnacentral:rRNA from 1 species